rnacentral:tRNA from 1 species
AAGGGAGACCUAAUUCGGAUAUAAGACGAAAAAAGAGUAGUCGAAACCAAGAAUCAAUCCCAAAAGGUCGGAACGAGGUAUGUGGCUUUCAAACUAGGUUCUGGGUUCACACAAGACCUGAAUCAGGAACAAGGGCUAUUAGCUCAGGUGGUUAGAGCGCACCCCUGAUAAGGGUGAGGUCCCUGGUUCGAGUCCAGGAUGGCCCACCUGCACAGGUGGCAAAAACAAAGAAGCGAGGAAUCAGCACCUUAUCUUAUCUAUAUAUAAGAGAGAAUGCUGGCUCUGAGUAAAGAGUCCAGAGGAACCUUGAAAACUGCAUAGAGCUAGGUGAAAAAGCCAAAAAAGAAGACCGCAA